AAACACCAACCCUCAGCGUGGACGCUGGCAGCUGCGACCUCUCAUGAAAGGGUGCGGAUGGCCUCUGGUGAACUGGAUGAGGUCUCUGCACCUAAAAAGUGAACUGCCAUAUAAUCCAGCAAUCCCACUGCUGAGUAUAUACCCAAAAGAAAGAAAAUCAGUAAAUCAAACAGAUACCUGCACUUUGAUGUUUGUUGCAGCACAGUUUACAUAGCUAAGAUUUGGAAGCAACCUAAGUGUUCAUCAACAGAUGAAUGGAUAAAGAAAAUGUGGUACAUAGACACAACAGAGCAUUAUUGGUUGUUGUGGUGAUGAAAGAAGAUAACAUAAAAACAGAAAAAUGGCGAAGAGCACAGAUUCCACAGCCUAAUGUCCUGAGUUUAAAUUCCUACUCUGCCAUUUACCAGUUUUAUGUUAUGAACAUCAGGUGGUAGCCACAACGAAGAAAUACAUUUUCUGGCAGCUGUGAAUGUUAUCCUUCCC
rnacentral:lncRNA from 1 species